CCUACGGGUGGCAGCAGUGAGGAAUAUUGGUCAAUGGGCGGAAGCCUGAACCAGCCAAGUCGCGUGAGGGAAUAAGGCCCUACGGGUCGUAAACCUCUUUUGCCGGGGAGCAAGGGCGGGGACGUGUCCCGGCCCGGAGAGUACCCGGAGAAAAAGCAUCGGCUAACUCCGUGCCAGCAGCCGCGGUAAUACGUAGGAGGCGAGCGUUAUCCGGAAUGACUGGGCGUAAAGGGUGCGUAGGUGGUUUGGCAAGUUAGUAGCGUAACUCCAAGGCUCAACCUUGGAACUACUACUAAAACUGUUGGACUUGAGUGCAGGAGGGGCAACCGGAAUUCCUAGUGUAGCGGUGGAAUGCGUAGAUAUUAGGAGGAACACCAGUGGCGAAGGCGGGUUGCUAGACUGUAACUGACACUGAGGCACGAAAGCGUGGGGAGCAAACAGGAUUAGAUACCCGUGUAGUC
rnacentral:rRNA from 1 species